rnacentral:lncRNA from 10 species
UGUGUGUGUGUGUGUGUGUGUGUUUGUGAACACAACAUACCUGUAUGGUAGGGGUAACAUUGGUUUAGAUUCACUUUGUACUUCAUACCUGUGUUCAAAAGACUCAGCUGAGCCCUUUGUGAGGAUAUUUUGACUUUGAAAAUCUGGAAUUGAUGACUCACUUAAAAUAGUUUUAUCUUGGGACUGAAACAGGGACAUAGGCAUAUUUUUGUAUGAUUCACAUCAGAGCUGAUAAUCUUAAUGGUUUGUAAAGGGCCUAAAUGAUUCUACAGUUUUAUAUAAAGCAUGUUAAACUAUCAAGGCUCAUUAUUACAUAACUAUAAAUGGACAGAGUUUUAUAAUAAGAAAAAUGUACAUUUGUUUAGCCAUUGUCUCCUAGGAACUUCUCUCUAUUAUUACACUAUUGCAUUUGCAAAGGCACCAAAGGUGCAGUUUGGUUUAUAUACUGCAGUAGUAAUUCCUAAAAGAUUUAAUUGUAUCAGGUUUUUUAACUUAAAAAUGGAAUCCUAUUUAAAGUAUAUCCAAAUAUUCGUACAAUAAGAAGUUAUCACAGUCUACCUAUUUUGUAAAUGAGGUGCAGUGUUUAGUUUUCAUUGGGGUUUUUGAUUUUCUGUUUUGAGCAUUUAAAACAAAAUCCUUUGAAAAUAGUAGUUGGUGAUCACAAUGGUUUAUGACAAUUUUAACAAAUUGUAUUAGAAGACUCUAAGGAGCUGUAUUUUCAACCGUGCUUUUUCUCUUCCUUCCUUCCUUUCUCUUCCCUCACUUUUUUUCUUCCUCUUCCUUCCUUCCUUCCUUCCUUUUUGCAUUGGGGUAAGAACAUAAAUAAUAUUACAUCUUUCCACUAUGUCUAAAAAAGUUGGAGGUGGAGAACAGUAUAUUUUCCAUGAAAAUGUCAGCCUGCCACAUAGCUCUGCUUAGUAGGCAAACCGUUAUUCAUUUGGAUUCUCUCUUGGCUUUACAUUUGGAAACAGUUUUAGUGUUAGGUACUUAUGAUUGAAAAGGAGAUCUCAUGUUGAGCUUUUAUUGCGUUGGAUGCGCUUAAAGGAGGUUUUGUAAAAGACCAUUGCUUCAUUAAGAAAGGAAGAAAGAAAAACAAACAAUUACAUCCAGGGAAAUGCUAGGAUUUUUGAUAGUUUAACAUGACCAUGUCUUGAGCAUUUUCAGUUCAUAAUGAGGCUUGCCCUAACUAAAAUGGCAUUUCAUUUCGGUUGAUGUACUCUUGACAUUAUUGGUGACAUCUGCUAAAUUCUAAACCAUAUUUUUUUUUAAAUUGAUUUCAUUCCUACAUCAUCAGCUAUGACCACCAGUUGAGCUGGAGAGAUUGGAAUCUGGUGUUUUAUUUAUUAAAAAAGACAUUUUCAGACUGCUUAGCUCACAAAGAUAUUUUGUAUUCUUUUUCAAAAUAUAUUUUAUUUAUCAUGGAUGCUUGUGUUUUAAGGCUGCAUAUUUAUUUAAAAUUUAUGAAGAACCCUGGAAAACAUUCCCAACACAAUACAAAGUCCACACAUUUGCACAAUAAUUAAGAAUAUUUGGCCGAGCACGAUGGCUCAUGCUUGUAAUUCCAGCACUUUAGGAAGCCGAGGUGGGCGGAUCACUUGAGGUCUGGAGUUAGAGACCAGACUGGCCAACAUGGUGAAACCCGUCUCUACUAAAAAUACAAAAAUUAGCCGGGCAUGGUGGUGGGUGCCUGUAAUCCCAGCUACUCGGAAGGCUGAGGCAGGACAACUGCCUGAACUUGAGAGGUAGAGGUUGCAGUGAGCCGAGAUCACACCAUUGCACUCCAGCCUGGGUGACGCAGCAAGACUCCAUCUCAAAAAAAAAAAAAAAA